rnacentral:rRNA from 1 species
AACGCGAAGAACCUUACCAGGUCUUGACAUCCUCUGACAACCCUAGAGAUAGGGCUUUCCCCUUCGGGGGACAGAGUGACAGGUGGUGCAUGGUUGUCGUCAGCUCGUGUCGUGAGAUGUUGGGUUAAGUCCCGCAACGAGCGCAACCCUUGAUCUUAGUUGCCAGCAUUAAGUUGGGCACUCUAAGGUGACUGCCGGUGACAAACCGGAGGAAGGUGGGGAUGACGUCAAAUCAUCAUGCCCCUUAUGACCUGGGCUACACACGUGCUACAAUGGAUGGAACAAAGGGCAGCGAAGCCGCGAGGUGAAGCCAAUCCCAUAAAACCAUUCUCAGUUCGGAUUGCAGGCUGCAACUCGCCUGCAUGAAGCCGGAAUCGCUAGUAAUCGCGGAUCAGCAUGCCGCGGUGAAUACGUUCCCGGGUCUUGUACACACCGA